ACACGAACCUCGGUGGGCCCGUCAGAUUUUGUUUUGUUUUUUUUCCCUGCAGAGAAGUUGGAUUGGAACCUGUUCCCUCGCCAAGAAAACUCGUGAUAGUUGCACAGCAUCUUAAAACCGAUGAUGUGGGAAAGGCAAAGAGAAUGCUGGCACUACGAUCUCCGAGAAUUUUUGAAUGUUGUGACUUGUGCUACAUCGAUCGCGACCAAACAAUCGAACUAAAAUUUAAGGCGAGGCGAGAUUUGGGUGGUUUCCGUGACAAAGCUGACGAUAGAAAACUCCCUUACUGCAUCCUUCCGGAAGUUCGAUUUAGUUUUGUUCGGUUCAAUCAAUGAAUGUGAGCUCCGAUCUACAAAUAAUCAAUAUGGAAUUUGGGACACGAAAUUCAAUCUACAUUUGAAAAACCAUGUAUAAAAAGAAGUGCUUUAAGUAAAGUACUGUAGGCUCAAAUAAUUUAAUGGAUCCGAUGGAGGAAAUCAUUAUGGCCAACGGAAAUAAAUUUCGAUUAGCUGAUCAGCAUCCGGCAG